CGACCCUUAUUAAGCCGAGGGUCACCUAGCCAACUGACGUUGUUAGUGAACCGAAAUUUGUUCACAAUCAAAUACAGCCAAUCACGAUUAUUGUGAUUGGCUUUUUUUCU
rnacentral:sRNA from 1 species